rnacentral:rRNA from 1 species
CGGGCCUGGUUUUCGGAUCAGGUCAGUGGCGCAAGGGUGAGUAAGGCGACGGCAACCAACCCCAUGGUUGGGCAUAGCCGCGGGAAACUGCGGGUAAUUCCCAGCGAAGUUCGUGUCGGGCAUCCGACGGGAACCAAAGUUAAGGCGCCGUGGGACGGGCCGUCGUGGUAUUAGGUAGUUGGCGGGGUAAUGGCCCACCAAGCCGAUGAUGCCUACCGGGCGUGCGAGCGUGGCCCGGCACACUGGGACUGAGACACUGCCCAGACUCCUACGGGAGGCUGCAGUCGAGAAUCUUCGGCAAUGGGCGCAAGCCUGACCGAGCGACGCCGCGUGGAGGAUGAAGGCCUUCGGGUUGUAAACUCCUGUCGAGGGGGAGGAAGGGGUAACCUUGACCGAUCCCUGGAGGAAGCACGGGCUAAGUUCGUGCCAGCAGCCGCGGUAAGACGAACCGUGCGAACGUUAUUCGGAAUCACUGGGCUUAAAGCGCGUGUAGGCGGAUGGGGACGUCGGUUGUUGAAAGCCCCCGGCUCAACCGGGGAACUGGCACCGAAACGCCCGGUCUGGAGGGACGUAGGGGGACCUGGAACUUCCGGUGGAGCGGUGAAAUGCGUUGAGAUCGGAAGGAACGCCCGUGGCGAAAGCGAGGUCCUGGACGUUUUCUGACGCUGAGACGCG